rnacentral:rRNA from 1 species
UACGAAAGGGGGCUAGCGUUGUUCGGAAUUACUGGGCGUAAAGCGCACGUAGGCGGAUAUUUAAGUCAGGGGUGAAAUCCCAGAGCUCAACUCUGGAACUGCCUUUGAUACUGGGUAUCUUGAGUAUGGAAGAGGUAAGUGGAAUUGCGAGUGUAGAGGUGAAAUUCGUAGAUAUUCGCAGGAACACCAGUGGCGAAGGCGGCUUACUGGUCCAUAACUGAC